UACGGAGGGUGCGAGCGUUGUCCGGAAUUAUUGGGCGUAAAGCGCACGUAGGCGGCUUAGCAAGUCGGAUGUGAAAUCCUUUGGCUCAACCAAAGAAGUGCAUCCGAAACUGCUGAGCUUGAGUACUUAAGAGGAUCGCGGAAUUCCCGGUGUAGAGGUGAAAUUCGCAGAUAUCAGGAGGAACACCGGUGGCGAAGGCGGAUCUCUGGGCCUUACCUGACGCUGAGGAGCGGAAAGCAUGGGGAGCGAUCCGG
rnacentral:rRNA from 1 species